GACGAACGCUGGCGGCGUGCUUAACACAUGCAAGUCGAACGGAAAGGCCCUGCUUUUGUGGGGUGCUCGAGUGGCGAACGGGUGAGUAACACGUGAGUAACCUGCCCUUGACUUUGGGAUAACUUCAGGAAACUGGGGCUAAUACCGGAUAGGAGCUCCUGCUGCAUGUGGGGGGUUGGAAAGAUUCGGCGGUUGGGGAUGGACUCGCGGCUUAUGAGCUUGUUGGUGGGGUAGUGGCUUACCAAGGCUUUGACGGGUAGCCGGCCUGAGAGGGUUACCGGCCACAUUGGGACUGAGAUAGGGCCCAGACUCCUACGGGAGGCAGCAGUGGGGAAUAUUGCACAAUGGGCGGGAGCCUGAUGCAGCAGCGCCGCGUGCGGGAUGACGGCCUUCGGGUUGUAAACCGCUUUCGCCUGUGACGAAGCGUGAGUGACGGUAAUGGGUAAAGAAGCACCGGCUAACUACGUG
rnacentral:rRNA from 1 species